AACGAACGCUGGCGGCAUGCCUUACACAUGCAAGUCGAACGGCAGCGCGGGGCAACCUGGCGGCGAGUGGCGAACGGGUGAGUAAUAUAUCGGAACAUACCCUAGAGUGGGGGAUAACGUAGCGAAAGUUACGCUAAUACCGCAUACGAACUAAGGUUGAAAGCGGGGGAUCUUCGGACCUCGUGCUCAUGGAGUGGCCGAUAUCUGAUUAGCUAGUUGGUGAGGUAAAGGCUCACCAAGGCGACGAUCAGUAGCUGGUUUGAGAGAACGACCAGCCACACUGGAACUGAGACACGGUCCAGACUCCUACGGGAGGCAGCAGUGGGGAAUUUUGGACAAUGGGCGCAAGCCUGAUCCAGCAAUGCCGCGUGAGUGAAGAAGGCCUCGGUGUAAGACGCUUGUUCAGGGAAGAAACGGUAGAGUCCGUAAUAUAG
rnacentral:rRNA from 1 species